GCUCACUCCCUGCCUACUUUCUGGAUUGGAUAACUACAGCGAUCCAUCAGAGAAAACAAAGUGGGAACAUUUGAUCAAGUUGUCUUUGCCAAAGUUAUACUCAUAGCUUAAGACAUCAAUUAGAAAUUAGAGUUUAUACAAACAGUUGGACAAGUGCUCAGAUCUUCUCUCCGAGGGAUGUGCUAUAAAACAAAACGGGGUUGUUCGCUAGACCAUAAUUUAAGUCUGUAUUAGCGAUUACCAUGACGUCUCAUCUCUCGGCCUUGAGCUCUUAAAGAUCAGCUUACUGGAAAAACUCUCCACUUCAAGGUAUGAGGUGAAACCUGUUGAGCGUGUGUCUCUGUUUGGCUGACCUGCUCCUCUGUGAUGACUCCUCGGUUGUCAGUGUGUGUAUGAGGAGAGCUCAGAGGCAUGAUCUGACACACAUGACCAAGUAACAUGGACACCUCUUUCAUGGACCUCCAG